UCCCUCAUUUGUGGUUUUACCAUGGGUUCACCAAACCAAAUGGCCUACCGAUUACGGUUAACUUCCAACCCCCACAAGUUAUCCGAUUUUAAGCAUGGAAUGGCAUUUUAAGCAUAGAAUGAUGGGCAGCGGUGAGCACCAUCUGGAUGGUGUUGCAAGGGACCUGGCGGGCCCCACUGCUCCAUGAAUGGUAGAAAUGCUGGAAAAGGGGUUUCUGUUUGAGUUUCCGCGUAACAUAAUUAUGUUUUCUCGUAUAUUGAAAUUACAAUCCGACGCUACCAUGUCUGUAGCUUGUGUUUAGGUCGUACUCGGAGCUCCAACUAAAAAGUUGGAAGGCGCUUAAGCUUCAGUGACUCCAAGCCUGCAGUCUACAACUACGCAGUUGGACAGGUGGCACCCUUGGCCUCCGGUAUCUUGCGUUCCGACACUGAUCCCUCUCGCCUAAUCCAAAUCAUCUGGGUUAUCACCCACGCGGCCCAUUCUGGCAACAAGGCGGCCAAUUCCAUCGCUCGCGAUUCGACUGACCGAGCAAGCCCACCCUCGCCGGAAAUGGAUAUGCAUGACGCGCUCCUCACUACGGCCACCUGGAUUGGCGCGCGUGGUGGGGUUGCUACGGCCGUCCCAUUCGACGCGCGCCCCAUUGAAAAAAUGUAAUUGAGGAAGUUCUUCCGCGUGCCGCAUGGCGGCGCUGGACUUUAACCCCCCUGCUGACGAACUCGCGGAUGUGGAGAUGCUUGUAGAGAUGCGCAUUUGACAUCGUGCACGUGGUGAAGAUGGCUUGAUCGUUGGCCCAGAAGUGUAUUGACAGCUUCAGGAAACUGCACGAGAAUCAAGUGCUACCACCACCUUCAACUGUGGAAAAUUCUGCAAUAGCAGACAUCGCUGGUUUCAUUGUGAAGGCAGUCGAAGAACGGAGAACAUGCAGCGCCUGUCCAAGUCUACACAAAUCAACAUCAGCAUCAACAGUAAUGGGACUCAUUAUUCGCAAAACAAGGGAUGGUUUGGUGCUCCCGAAGCCCGAGUUUGCUGCUGACCUCGUUAACGUAAAAAGGCCGUUGACAUCGCAGAGCCACAUAUUGGCAAGGAUGAUGUGUGCAAAAAAUUGGCAGGGGGAUUUGAUUUGUUCACACUUAGAGAGCUGCCCUCUUUUUACUUGCCAGGCAAACGAAGAGCAUCCACCAGUGACUUCUUCAAUAGUUGCAAGCAAAUUUAUAAAGGCCCUACUGUCAAACAUCGGCGCAGCCUUUAGAGACACAGCGGCUUACCACACAAAAAACUAAUGAAUAAGGCACUGAGCCGCAAAGUUCUGCACGGUUGAAGAGAGCACUACGAGUGCGCAAGGGCUGUGAGUUUGCCGUUGUAAAUAAAUUAUUGUAUGCGUUGUGAAUGUGUUAUGCUGGCAAUUUCACCUUGAAUACAAACAUGGCAUGCACGUACAUACAGAUGGCUCAGAAAGUUGCUGAAAGAUGUCUGUCCGUGGCUGUCGCCUCUAAGUAAGCAGCUUGAUACUUUGUGCAGGAAGACACGCGAUGAGUUCGCCUUUUGAUGAACAAAAUAAAAUAAAACAUGAGCCCAUUAGCAUGCACAGAUACAAGACUGCCGCGACUUCGGCGCUCCAUUAC